rnacentral:rRNA from 1 species
GGGGGCAACCCUGACCGAGCAACGCCGCGUGAGUGAAGAAGGUUUUCGGAUCUAAAGCUCUGUUGUAAGUCAAGAACGAGUGUGAGAGUGGAAAGUUCACACUGUGACGGUAGCUUACCAGAAAGGGACGGCUAACUACGUGCCAGCAGCCGCGGUAAUACGUAGGUCCCGAGCGUUGUCCGGAUUUAUUGGGCGUAAAGCGAGCGCAGGCGGUUUGAUAAGUCUGAAGUUAAAGGCUGUGGCUCAACCAUAGUUCGCUUUGGAAACUGUCAAACUUGAGUGCAGAAGGGGAGAGUGGAAUUCCAUGUGUAGCGGUGAAAUGCGUAGAUAUAUGGAGGAACACC